UAGCAGCGGGGCUUUUGCAGAUGACCUCAUCUGCCUCACAGGCUCAUAUGCUAACCUGCGUAUCCAAGCCAAGAAAUUGAGCCUCUAUGCUGAUUGGGCACACCUCAUCAUCUCUGGCACAAAAACAAGGGUGACAUGCAACCUUCUUAGCCAACAAACAAUGCAAAUCAGGGAUAACACGUCCGUUGCAGAUUUUUCUUGACGUCAACUCAAAGACAGGAUACUAGUCCAGGGCAAGCCAGCCCAAUUCAUUGACCCCGGGGAGCCAUUUACUUACCUUGGCGUUGAAAUCACCAUGACAUUAGACUGGAAACCCCAGCUUGACAAAAUGAAGGAAAAGCUCACCCAAAAAUUGGCAAGCCUGACCUGCUCUUUUGCCACACCCAGGCAAAC
rnacentral:lncRNA from 1 species